rnacentral:rRNA from 1 species
AGCGAACGCUGGCGGCGUGCCUAACACAUGCAAGUCGAACGUGAAAAGGGAAACCUGAGUAAAGUGGCGUACGGGUGAGUAACGCGUAGGUAAUCUACCCCAGAAUCUGGAAUAACCUGCCGAAAGGCGGGCUAAUACUGGAUAGAGCGAGGGAACUCGUAAGAGAGUUUUUCGGGAAAGGGAGCCCGCAAGGGCCUUCGUUCUGGGAUGAGCCUGCGUCUCAUUAGCUAGUUGGUAAGGUAACGGCUUACCAAGGCGAUGAUGAGUAGCUGGUCUGAGAGGAUGAUCAGCCACACUGGAACUGAAACAUGGUCCAGACUCCUACGGGAGGCAGCAGUGGGGAAUCUUGCGCAAUAGACGAAAGUCUGACGCAGCCACGCCGCGUGAGUGAAGAAGGCCUUCGGGUUGUAAAGCUCUGUCGGAUGGGACGAACAUCUUCAUAGUGAAUAGCUAUGAGGACUGACGGUACCAUCAAAGGAAGCACCGGCUAACUCCGUG